UUUGAGCUUCUGGGGGAAGGGGCGUGGCCCCUGAGUGACAAGUUGGCUCUGGAGCCUGGCAGGGAGAGUGACAUCUCAGAAGGACUCCCUGGAGAGCCCCUCUCCCCUCUCAUCCACACACACACCAGAGGGCCCUCUGCAACCCCACCCCCGCCAUGAGCCCCUGCCUCCUGGGCUGUGUGGUCUUCUGUCUCCUACAGGCAGGGGCGGUCCAUGCUGGGGUCACUCAGGACCCCAGAUUCCAGGUCGUGAGGUCAGGACAGAAAGCGACACUGACAUGUACUCAGGAUCUGAAACACGGUUAUAUGUACUGGUACCGACAAGACGUGGGACGCGGAAUGAGGCUGAUCCAUUACUCAAAUGGCCCUCCCGACACACAGACGGGAGAUGUAACCGAGGGCUACAGCGUCUCCAGACCAAGCACAGAGGACUUCCCUCUCACACUGGAGUCUGCCAACCGCUCCCAGACAUCUGUGUACUUCUGCGCCAGCAGUUACUCCACAGCGCUGCAGGGUCACCUCCUCUCUGUGCAAAAAGGCAAGGCAGCCCCUUGCUUGUAGGCUCCUAGCACCAGCAGCCUCAGGGCUUUGCUGCCACGUGCCUGCAGUGUGACCCUGAGUGUGUGGUCUGUGCUGGCCCGGACCUCACUCCAGGCCAUGUGGAUAUGUGUCCACCAUCCAUUGCUGUCUUUUCUCUGUAUCCUCCCUGUGAACCAGGAGUUUCCCCCGCUCUGACUCCUAGUCAUCACCUGAGCCUGAGACCUCCAGGAGGGAAGGUUGUUUGUAAACUAGAUAAAAAGAGGCCCUCGUGUCCCACCUCAGGCAGCUCAUCGCUGUCUCUCUGGAAGGUUCUCCCCCAGCCUGGCUCUCGCGUGCUCUCUUCUCUUGCCCACCUUUCCUGGGUGGGUAAGUCACUCCUCUCCCACCUUCCUGGCCCUUUCUACUCCAGCCACAUUGUUCCUCCUUCAUCUGAGUCACGAAAGUGAAAGUCGCUCAGUCAUGUCCUCAUCUUUGCGACCCCAUGGACUGUGUAGUCCCUGGAAUUCUCCAGGCCAGAAUACUGGAGUGGGCAGC